CCCAGUGAAACUGGGGUCCUGGGCCUGAGAGAACCUGGAGGAGGCCGGGUCUCCCCAAAACCUCGGCAGGACAAAGUCAGUUCCCUGGUGGAUUCUUCCUGUAGGUGUGAAAUGCACAUGUGGGAGGACUUUCUGGGUUGAGCUAAUCUCGAUAAAGUCUCGUCCCCCCUGCGAGUUUAGCUGAAUCCUUACUAGCAGCUCUUCAAGGGCAGAGAGUAUGUCAUUCUGUUCCUAGCACAGUGCCUGGCACCCAGAAGGAGUGAAAAAUGUGACUUGGUGGCUGAAGAGGUGAAUUCUCCCAGCUGGGAUUUGUCUGACUCUCAAAAGAGCCGUGCCGUGUCCCAUUCCCAGGGUAAGGACUGUGACCACGUUGAGGAAAGGGGCGGGGAGGGGGCUGCCAGGUUUGGAUCUGCUGCAAACCCACCCACCUGUCACCCUUGGCACAUUCCGUGGGUGGCUGUAUCCGUUCACCAAGGAUGCUUUGGUUGCAAGCAAGAGAAGCUGGCUUUGGCCAGCCUGGUCGCACUAAGUCUAUGGAAGGCUGUGGGGUGACUCUGGGAACAAAACGAAGGGCUGAGGGCCCUGACAGCCCCGUGGUUAAAGUUCGGUGAGCUCUGCUUUGGUGGCUUGGGUUCAGUUCCCAGGCACAGACCUACACCACUUGUCUAUCAGCAGCCACACUGUGGCAGCAGCUCACACAGAAGAACCAGAAGAACUUACAAUGAUGCACAACUAUGUGCUCAGGCUGUGGCAGGGGGAAAGAAGAAAAAAGGGGGAAGACUGGCAAGUGAUGUUAGCUCAGGGCAAAUCUUCCCCAGCAAAAAAAAAAAAAGAAAAAGGAAGAGCUGAGGGAGCAGGCUGUGGAAGAACAAGAUGGGGGUCAGCUCUGGGGUCCAGGGAGCAGGAACUCCUGGGGGACAUCUCCAGGGCUUAUGUUUUAGGGUGACAGCCCAAUCGUUCUUGUGUCUUGGAUCACUCAUCUCAAGAUGAAAUUUCCCAGGAGACAAGUCUGAGCUUGAGCCUCAUGUCCACCCUCCAGCCAGAGCACCUUGAUUGUCUGUUCCUUUGGGAUGGCAACACAGCGGGCGUGGAAUCCUCAAGGGAAAAUCGAGGGCCUGCGGCAGGAGAGUGGGGAAACGGGCGCAGGCCAGCCCACGGCGCCAGCAGCCAAUGUCCACGUGUUCCUCAUCUUGGGAUCCUCACAGCUGGGACUUAGUAGGUCUUCAAGAAAUGUCACACUUGCCCGACUUACUUCCUCCUCGAGCCCCCCUCCCCCCACUUGAGGCAGAAUGGCUUCCUCCCUCCCCUUCAUCCUACGGGACUUUGUUGUUACUUCUGUCCACCGGUUAGGUCGUUAGAGUUGAUUUUUGUGCUUUUUGCUUCUUCGAGUUGGAACUGUGUCUCAUUCAGGUCUGUUUCCUCCAUGGCCAACUGAGUUGUGGACACGGAGUGGAAGCUCAGGAAAUGUUUGUUGAAUGGAUGAAUGACCGGACGGGUGUGUUCACAGGAAGAAAGCUCCAGUCAAACCAACAUAUUUGUCUUUAAGGUAUAAGAGAAAACUGUAUAUAUGUCAAGUAAAAGUACUCAGAACUUGGAAAUAGGGAUCGGCCCCGUGGCCGAGUGGUUAAGUUCACACGCUCCGCCCAGGGUUUCACAGGUUCGGAUCCUGGGUGCGGACAUGGCACUGCUCAUCAGGCCGUGCUGAGGCGGCGUCCCACAUGCUACAACCAGAAGGACCCACAACUAAAAAUAUACAACUAUGUACCAGGGGGAUUUGGGGAGAAAGAAAAAAAAGAAAAAA
ensembl:lncRNA